rnacentral:rRNA from 1 species
AUUGAACGCUAGCGGCAUGCCUUACACAUGCAAGUCGAACGAGUGGCGGACGGGUGAGUAAUAUAUCGGAACGUGCCCAGUAGCGGGAUAUAACUACUAUAAAGAGUGUCUAAUCCCGCAUACUAUUGUAGCGCCCGAUAGCGGAUUCGCUAGUUGGUGGGGUAACGGCACACCAAGGCCACGCUCCGUAGCUGGUUUGAGAGGACGACCAGCCACACGGGGACUGAGACACGGCCCAGACGCCUACGGGAGGCAGCAGUGGGGAAUUUUGGACAAUGGGGGAAAGCCUGAUGCAGCCAUGCCGCGUGUAUGAGAAGGCCUUCGGGUUGUAAAGUACUUUGGGCAGAGAGGCGGUAUCUGCAGAAUAAGCACCGGCUAACUACGUGCCAGCCGCCGCGGUAAUUC